CCUUUAUUUAUUUAUCAGCACAAAUAAAAAAUAAACAAACACACACACACACACAUAUAUAUAAUAUUCAUUCUAUGUUGCUGUUCAGUUGCAUUGAUUAGAAACUUGGGAUUCUUUGAUGAAAUAUCCUUUAUCAUGACUUCUGUGGAAUAUUGAUUUUAUCUAUGGAUCUAUUUUUUCAAAUUGGAAAGUUUAAAUUUGACAAAACAUAUUUUGAAAUAAAUAAGUGUGCAAAGCUGCUUUCCCAGUUUUCUCAGAUGUUUAGAAAUAAUUGUCCUCCAGUCUCAAACUUUCAUUGUAUACCCUCUCACAUAUAUAUACAGUGCCACCUAACAGUUUAACGAACGACUCCCAUACUAUUCUUCAGAUUUUAUAUGGGGAAGUUAUUAUUCAAAAUUUCUAUUUUGAAUAUUUAUUUUGCUUAUGCCCUUGUUCUGCAAAUGUAAUGCUAACAAAAAUAUAUUUUAUUAUAGUUCAUUGAUAUUGGAAUAAUUACAAGUAUUGAAAUAAAUCAUAAACAAGUAGAUGUUGCAAAAAAAGGUCAAGAAGUCUGUGUAAAAAUAGAACCAAUUCCUGGUGAAGCACCGAAAAUGUAUGGUCGUCAUUUUGAAGCAACUGAUAUGCUUGUCAGCAAGAUUAGUCGACAGUCCAUUGAUGCCCUGAAAGACUGGUUUAGAGAUGAAAUGCAGAAGUCUGACUGGCAACUUAUUGUGGAACUCAAGAAAGUAUUUGAAAUCAUCUAGGUUCUGUCAAACUUUGACCAAUGAUUAGCAAAAGCCCACAGUUCCUAUUAUAAGAACAACAGCAGCUUAUAAUAAAUAUGCUGUUGGCUUUAAAAAAACAUCUGGGAAAAAUGUGGAUAAAAUGUUUUCCAUGAGAAACCAAAUAACUUACACUGGUUUGACAGUGGUCAAUUUAUGUCCCUGUGGUUCCAAUGUGCCUGUGCAUCUUUCCCAAUGCCCUUCACUUUGUACUGGCUACUUUUAAAGUUUGCCCUUUCCAGUUCACAUCCCCAAAUUAAAAUAUAAUAAUUUUUUAUUAAGUAACUCAGCUUUCACUUUUAUACUAGUAAGAUCAGUACUACAGUAUUUGCCUAAUCAAACUCUUACACACUUUGUGAUUUUUUUGGACUUUUUCGAUGUAAGAAAUCUUUAUUUAUGCAUACCCUCUUUUCCCCUGAUUUUUUUUUCAUCACUUCUGCUUUGUGCCUAUAGAAAUUUAUUAUAGAAAAAUUAGGUAAUUGGCUAUCUGUAUUUGGUUGGUGUGAAACAAUGAUGUAAAGCAUAGUUGGCUGCCUUUUAUUGCUUGUACAGUUUAUGAAAUUUGGCAAAUUAAUCAUUAAUUCUGAGCGGCAAAUAAAGUAAACGAACAUUACUCUGAUAAUUUAAUUCCUAAUAAAGGCAGUGCAGCAUGCAAAUAUAUCUGUCAAAA